rnacentral:rRNA from 1 species
CCUACGGGUGGCUGCAGUCGAGAAUCUUCUGCAAUGGGGGCAACCCUGACAGAGCGACGCCGCGUGGAGGAUGAAGGCCCUCGGGUUGUAAACUCCUGUCACAUGUUAAGCUAAGGCAUGAGAGGAAGUCACGGCUAACUUCGUGCCAGCAGCCGCGGUAAGACGAAGGUGGCAAGCGUUAUUCGGAUUUACUGGGCAUAAAGCGCGCGUAGGCGGCUUGGCAAGUCGGGGGUGAAAGCCCGCAGCUCAACUGCGGAACUGCCUUCGAUACUGCCGGGCUUGAGGGCGGGAGGGGUGAUUGGAACUCCAGGUGUAGCGGUGAAAUGCGUAGAUAUCUGGAGGAACACCGGAGGCGAAGGCGAAUCACUGGACCGCUCUGACGCUGAGGCGCGAAAGCUAGGGGAGCAAACAGGAUUAGAUACCCUUGUAGUC